rnacentral:rRNA from 1 species
CCGGCACGGGUGAGUAACACGUAUCCAACCUGCCGUCUACUCUUGGACAGCCUUCUGAAAGGAAGAUUAAUACAAGAUGGCAUCAUGAGUUCACAUGUUCACAUGAUUAAAGGUAUUCCGGUAGACGAUGGGGAUGCGUUCCAUUAGAUAGUGGGCGGGGUAACGGCCCACCUAGUCUUCGAUGGAUAGGGGUUCUGAGAGGAAGGUCCCCCACAUUGGAACUGAGACACGGUCCAA